rnacentral:rRNA from 1 species
GAUGAACGCUGGCGGCGUGCCUAAUACAUGCAAGUCGAGCGAACAGAUGAGGAGCUUGCUCCUCUGACGUUAGCGGCGGACGGGUGAGUAACACAUGGAUAACCUACCUAUAAGACUGGGAUAACUUCGGGAAACCGGAGCUAAUACCGGAUAAUAUAUUGAACCGCAUGGUUCAAUAGUGAAAGACGGUUUUGCUGUCACUUAUAGAUGGAUCCGCGCCGCAUUAGCUAGUUGGUAAGGUAACGGCUUACCAAGGCAACGAUGCGUAGCCGACCUGAGAGGGUGAUCGGCCACACUGGAACUGAGACACGGUCCAGACUCCUACGGGAGGCAGCAGUAGGGAAUCUCCCGCAAUGGGCGAAAGCCUGACGGAGCAACGCCGCGUGAGUGAUGAAGGUCUUCGGAUCGUAAAACUCUGUUAUUAGGGAAGAACAAAUGUGUAAGUAACUAUGCACGUCUUGACGGUACCUAAUCAGAAAGCCACGGCUAACUACGUG